rnacentral:rRNA from 1 species
UACAGAGGUCUCAAGCGUUGUUCGGAGUCAUUGGGCGUAAAGGGUGCGUAGGCGGCGCGGUAAGUCGGGUGUGAAAUCUCGGAGCUUAACUCCGAAACUGCACUCGAUACUGCCGUGCUUGAGGACUGGAGAGGAGACUGGAAUUCAUGGUGUAGCAGUGAAAUGCGUAGAGAUCAUGAGGAAGACCAGUGGCGAAGGCGGGUCUCUGGACAGUUCCUGACACUGAGACACGAAGGCCAGGGGAGCAAACGGG